UACAGAGGUCCCAAGCGUUGUUCGGAUUCAUUGGGCGUAAAGAGCGUGUAGGCGGCCAGGUAGGUCUGGUGUGAAAACUCGAGGCUUAACCUCGAGAUGUCAUCGGAAACCAUCUGGCUAGAGUCCGGAAGAGGAGAGUGGAAUUCCUGGUGUAGCGGUGAAAUGCGCAGAUAUCAGGAAGAACACCAAUGGCGAAGGCAGCUCUCUGGGACGGUACUGACGCUGAGACGCGAAAGCGUGGGGAGCGAACAGG
rnacentral:rRNA from 1 species